GGAUUUGUUGAUGAAUAAAUGCAUGCAUAGUAUAAGAUAAAUUAGAAUGAAAAUAUAAUAUUAUAUUGAUGGAGGAAAAGAUAGAAGAAAAUAGAAAAGAGAGUACGAAAGUGAGUUGUAGCUUAGGGUUAAAGGUAAUUAAAGAAGAAAGGAGCAGAAGGGCCAGGAGGAGCAGUGGCAUGGCAACAAGAAGAUGAUUUUCAGUCUAAUCAUGUUCACACAAAAGAUCAAAAACGGGUGUGUGAAGUGUGGG
rnacentral:lncRNA from 1 species